rnacentral:rRNA from 1 species
AACGAACGUUAGCGGCGCGCCUAACACAUGCAAGUCGAACGCGACAGGGGCAACUCUGUUGAGUGGCGCACGGGUGAGUAACACGUAGGUAAUCUCCCCCCGAGUGGUGGAUAACCUUCCGAAAGGAGGGCUAAUACAGCAUAAGACCACGGCUUCGAACGGAGCUGAGGUCAAAGCGGAGGAUCGCAAGACUUCGCGCUUGGGGAUGAGCCUGCGGCCCAUCAGGUAGUUGGCGGGGUAACAGCCCACCAAGCCUAAGACGGGUAGCUGGUCUGAGAGGAUGAUCAGCCACACUGGAACUGAGACACGGUCCAGACUCCUACGGGAGGCAGCAGUGGGGAAUCUUGCGCAAUGGACGAAAGUCUGACACAGCCACGCCGCGUGGGUGAUGAAGGCCUUCGGGUUGUAAAGCCCUGUGGGGAGGGACGAAUAAGUUUCAGCUAAUACCUGAAGCGAUGACGGUACCUCCUUAGCAAGCACCGGCUAACUCUGUGCCAGCAGCCGCCGUAA